rnacentral:rRNA from 1 species
UAGGGAAUCUUCGGCAAUGGACGAAAGUCUGACCGAGCAACGCCGCGUGAGUGAAGAAGGUUUUCGGAUCGUAAAACUCUGUUGUUAGAGAAGAACAAGGACGUUAGUAACUGAACGUCCCCUGACGGUAUCUAACCAGAAAGCCACGGCUAACUACGUGCCAGCAGCCGCGGUAAUACGUAGGUGGCAAGCGUUGUCCGGAUUUAUUGGGCGUAAAGCGAGCGCAGGCGGUUUCUUAAGUCUGAUGUGAAAGCCCCCGGCUCAACCGGGGAGGGUCAUUGGAAACUGGGAGACUUGAGUGCAGAAGAGGAGAGUGGAAUUCCAUGUGUAGCGGUGAAAUGCGUAGAUAUAUGGAGGAACGCCAGUGGCGAAGGCGGCUCUCUGGUCUGUAACUGACGCUGAGGCGCGAAAGCGUGGGGAGCAAACAGG